GAUCCUGACUCAAGACGAACGCUGGCGGCGCGCCUAACACAUGCAAGUCGAACGAGCGAGAGAGAGCUUGCUUUCUCAAGCGAGUGGCGAACGGGUGAGUAACGCGUGAGGAACCUGCCUCAAAGAGGGGGACAACAGUUGGAAACGACUGCUAAUACCGCAUAAGCCCACGACCCGGCAUCGGGUAGAGGGAAAAGGAGCAAUCCGCUUUGAGAUGGCCUCGCGUCCGAUUAGCUAGUUGGUG
rnacentral:rRNA from 1 species